rnacentral:ncRNA from 1 species
GAUCUAUCCAGAGAGGUGGAGGGACAUGGCCCUUUGAAACCUCAGCAACAGGUUCUACUAAUGUAGUAGAAUACUGUGCUAAUUCCAUCAGGCAUAUAGCUUGGAAGAUAGGAG